rnacentral:rRNA from 1 species
AGAGUUUGAUCCUGGCUCAGGAUGAACGCUGGCGGCGUGCUUAACACAUGCAAGUCGAACGAAGCAUUCUAACGGAACAUUUUCGGAUGGGAAGUUAAAAUGACUGAGUGGCGGACGGGUGAGUAACGCGUGGAUAACCUACCAUAUACAGGGGGACAACAGUUGGAAACGACUGCUAAUACCGCAUAAGCGCACAGUGCCGCAUGGCACGGUGUGAAAAACUCCGGUGGUAUAUGAUGGAUCCGCGUCUGAUUAGCUAGUUGGUGAGGUAAUGGCCCACCAAGGCAACGAUCAGUAGCCGACCUGAAAGGGUGACCGGCCACAUUGGGACUGAGACACGGCCUAAACUCCUACGGGAGGCAGCAGUGGGGAAUAUUGGACAAUGGGCGAAAGCCUGAUCCAGCAAUGCCGCGUGAGUGAUGAAGGCCUUCGGGUUGUAAAGCUCUUUUACCAGGGAUGAUAAUGACAGUACCUGGAGAAUAAGCUCCGGCUAACUCCGUGCCAGCAGCCGCGGUAAU